UUUCUGCUUUUUAGCAGCAGAUAAUUCGUAGAACCGAGCGGUUGGAAGUUCGAGCCGAGCGCAGCGAGACAACGUUGCUUUAGCAACGGCCCGUAGGGCGAGGCGUAAGCCGAGUCAUCUUCCUGGGUGCACCA
rnacentral:sRNA from 1 species